AAUAUUGGACAAUGGGGGCAGCCCUGAUCCAGCCAAGCCGCGUGUGUGAAGAAGGUCUUCGGAUUGUAAAGCACUUUAAGUUGGGAGGAAGGGCUUUAGGCUAUUACCCUGAAGUUUUGACGUUACCAACCGAAUAAGCACCUGCUAACUCUGUGCCAGCACCAGCGGUAAUACAGAGGGUGCAAGCGUUAAUCGGAAUUACUGGGCGAACAGCGCGCGUAGGUGGUUCAGUAAGAUGGGUGUGAAAUCCCCGGGCUUAACCUGGGAACUGCUUUCAUAACUGCUGAGCUAGAGUACGGUAGAGGGUAGUGGAAUUUCCUGUGUAGCGGUGAAAUGCGUAGAUAUAGGAAGGAACACCAGUGGCGAAGGCGACUACCUGGACUGAUACUGACACUGAGGUGCGAAAGCGUGGGGAGCAAAC
rnacentral:rRNA from 1 species